GAGUUUGAUCUUGGCUCAGGACGAACGCUAGCGGCGUGCCUAAGCUAUGCAAGUCGAGCGGGGUUGCAGUGCCGAGUCCCUUCGGGGGCAAAGCGCUGUAACCUAGCGGCAAACGGGUGAGUAACACGUGAGUAACCUGCCCUGCUGACCGGGAUAACUCCCCGAAAGGGGAGCUAAUACCGGAUACGAAGCGCCACCGCAUGGCGGCGCUUGGAAAGGGGAAACCCGCAGCGGGAUGAGCUCGCGGCCUAUCAGCUAGUUGGUGAGGUAACGGCCCACCAAGGCGACGACGGGUAGCCGACCUGAGAGGGUGACCGGCCACACUGGGACUGAGACACGGCCCAGACUCCUACGGGAGGCAGCAAGUAGGAAUAUUGCACAAUGGGCGGAAGCCUGAUGCAGCGACGCCGCGUGAGGGACGAAGGCCUUCGGGUUGUAAACUCUGUUGGCGGGACGGAUGA
rnacentral:rRNA from 1 species